rnacentral:rRNA from 1 species
GACGAACGCUGGCGGCGUGCCUAAUACAUGCAAGUCGAGCGGACGGAUGGGAGCUUGCUCCCAGACCGUCAGCGGCGGACGGGUGAGUAACACGCGGGCAACCUGCCUGUAAGACUGGGAUAACUCCGGGAAACCGGGGCUAAUACCGGAUAACUCUUUCCCUCCCCUGAGGGAAAGCUGAAAGAUGGCAUCUCGCUAUCACUUACAGAUGGGCCCGCGGCGCAUUAGCUAGUUGGUGAGGUAACGGCUCACCAAGGCGACGAUGCGUAGCCGACCUGAGAGGGUGAUCGGCCACACUGGGACUGAGACACGGCCCAGACUCCUACGGGAGGCAGCAGUAGGGAAUCUUCCGCAAUGGACGAAAGUCUGACGGAGCAACGCCGCGUGAGUGAUGAAGGUUUUCGGAUCGUAAAACUCUGUUGUCAGGGAAGAACAAGUACCGGAGUAACUGCCGGUACCUUGACGGUACCUGACCAGAAAGCCACGGCUAACUACGUG